CACCGCUCUCGCACGGCCUCUCUGGUCCUGCCCAGCGCCCGCCCCGCGCGCCGAGCUGCUCCGCCCCCGCUUCAACCUGGAGCCGGUGGCCGCCGCGCCUUCCUCGGCCCUUCCCAGCCUGCGUCCCCUCACCUCGCAGCCACAGGCUCCUGAGUCCUUAAAGGCGCAGCAGCCCGCGCCCGGCCUUUGCAACCACACAGGCGCAUCGCCAGCCCAGCGAGGAGCCGCAGCCUCCCAGCCUGCGCNCGCAUCGCCAGCCCAGCGAGGAGCCGCAGCCUGCGGUUGGGGCGACAGGGCGGGGGACGAGGUUGCUUCGAAGGGGCCCAGAAGUGUGUAGCGAUGGGUUGCAGUGGUGUCGUUCGUGCAGAUCGGGAACAGAGAAGAGGUCCCUCCUUGCACGUGUGUGUAGCAGACAUGGAAAUACGGCACGAAAGAGGGAAGUGUACAAGAGUUUACUAUACAUUUUCUCUUCUUCCACCAGCCCAUGACAGAGGGAGGAAUCAAGGCUCAACUAUUCUCUUCUCCAACCUCAAAAUCCUGAAUGUCUCCUUAUCCUUUAUGGUGCCAAACUCGUUGGAAGAAGAGGGCUGAAUUCUUCAUUUAAUUAUGGUUCAUGGCCCAUGGUAUAAAUUCGGGACUAUAUACUCUCAAUAAGACAUUGACGUCAAUUGGCAGUUUGCACAGAUAUUGUGGAAAGGAUAUGGUCUUUAUGCAGUAACUAAAUGUUUUGUUAUUUGUUCUGUACCUUAUUGUGACAUUCAUCUUCAGUAUGCACCCUUUUUGUUUUAAAUAUGUUCCAGUUUAAGCCUACUGUUGUUUAUGCUCUUUGUUUCUCCUUCCUUUCUCAAUUUCUUCUCAUUCCCUUGUCUUUGGGAAUCUCCUCUGUUCUCUGCAUUCUCUUCUUCCCUGCAGAAAUUCCAGGCUGCACUCCCAUCCUCUUCCCAACCUGCCAACUAAAAUGAUCGGUGAUUAAAUAGUUGAUGAUGGCACUGAAGGGUCAUCCAAAGCAGUGGUUCUCAACCUUUUUUUACCCAGAGACCCCUAAACUUAAAUUGACAAACUUGCAGAACCCCAACUCCCCAUCAUUAUUUUGUUGCUCAUAAUUUCUUUCACAUUUUAAUAGUUAUCCUGAAUAUUACCGUAGAGAAAUUAUUUGAACAGAUCAACAAAACACAGCAAGUUAAAAUACUGAUAGCUUAUUAAUGCCAGAGAAGUUUUCAAACUGUGGGGCAUGGCCAUCUAGGGAGGCUCAGGGAGGGAGCGCCACCUCCACUCCCUGACUCACUCCAGUGAGCCACCCAGCAGAAAUCGAGGGUGAGGCCAUGACCAAAAAUUGCAGCAUCACUGCAGAAGAGAGAUCUCCUCCUGCCAUCAGAAGGGGUUGCCUCACAGCCAUUGACUCCACAGGCAGCAGCUAGCCAAGGAGACACACCACUGCUCUGCUUUGCUGCAUCAGCACUUCAGGGAGCAUGGCCAAAUGUGCCCCCUCUCACACAUCACCCCUGGUUGCUGAUACAUUUGUGGACCCUCUGGACUAUACUGGCGGACCCUUACCAGUGUGAAGACCACAGGUUGAAAACCACUGCAAAAUCUAUAUUCCAGUCAGCUUUAGAUUAUUACCAAUGCAGCUAGAAAAUCGAAGCUGAGAUUCUGGAGAAUCUAAAUAGGUCAUGGUGACCACGUAAAUAAAUUAUGUGCUGGCCAUAUGUUUGACA
rnacentral:lncRNA from 1 species